UACGUAGGUGGCAAGCGUUAUCCGGAAUUAUUGGGCGUAAAGCGCUCGCAGGCGGUCUUUUAAGUCUGAUGUGAAAGCCCCCGGCUCAACCGGGGAGGGUCAUUGGAAACUGGGAGACUUGAGUGCAGAAGAGGAGAGUGGAAUUCCACGUGUAGCGGUGAAAUGCGUAGAGAUGUGGAGGAACACCAGUGGCGAAGGCGACUCUCUGGUCUGUAACUGACGCUGAGGAGCGAAAGCGUGGGGAGCGAACAGG
rnacentral:rRNA from 1 species